rnacentral:rRNA from 2 species
GCAGUCGAGCGGACAGAUGGGAGCUUGCUCCCUGAUGUUAGCGGCGGACGGGUGAGUAACACGUGGGUAACCUGCCUGUAAGACUGGGAUAACUCCGGGAAACCGGGGCUAAUUACCGGAUGCUUGUUUGAACCGCAUGGUUCAAACAUAAAAGGUGGCUUCGGCUACCACUUACAGAUGGACCCGCGGCGCAUUAGCUAGUUGGUGAGGUAAUGGCUCACCAAGGGAACGAUGCGUAGCCGACCUGAGAGGGUGAUCGGCCACACUGGGACUGAGACACGGCCCAGACUCCUACGGGAGGCAGCAGUAGGGAAUCUUCCGCAAUGGACGAAAGUCUGACGGAGCAACGCCGCGUGAGUGAUGAAGGUUUUCGGAUCGUAAAGCUCUGUUGUUAGGGAAGAACAAGUACCGUUCGAAUAGGGCGGUACCUUGACGGUACCUAACCAGAAAGCCACGGCUAUCUUCGUGUCAGCAGCCGCGGUAAUACGUAGGUGGGCAAGGCGUUGUCCGGAAUUAUUGGGGCGUAAAGGGUUUGGCGGGGGGGU